rnacentral:misc_RNA from 1 species
GAUGAAGAACGCAGCGAAAUGCGAUAAGUAAUGUGAAUUGCAGAAUUCAGUGAAUCAUCGAAUCUUUGAACGCACAUUGCGCCCGCUGGUAUUCCGGCGGGCAUGCCUGUUCGAGCGUCAUUUCAACCCUCAAGCUCUCCGGAGUUUGGUGUUGGGGCGCCUGGGGCUUUUCGACCUCAGGGCCCUCAAGUCCAUCGGCGGGACCGCCAGGACACUGAGCGCAGUAGUAUUAUUUCGUUCGGUAGGAUCUUCCACGGCGGGUCGAUCUGGCCGCUAAACCCCCCAAUUCUCACCAAAGGUUGACCUCGGAUCAGGUAGGAAUACCCGCUGAACUUAAGCAUAUCAAUAAGCGGAGGA